ACCGAGUAGAAUAGAGAGGGGAGAGGGCUAGGGUUCAGAGCACGACGAGCCAUAACUUCAACAAGCAGCGGGCGGGUCUCGGGCGGCGCGCGGGCGCUUGGUGGACGACACUCAAGCGGAGGCGGGCAGCGCUUGGGAGUCAGGCAUGCGACCUUGCGGCUGUGCUCAGGCGGGGCGUUGCGUGAAGCGCUAGGGAGUCGGGUGUGCGACGGGCGGCGCUCGUUCCUCAGGCAUGUGCGGACGAUGCUCAGACGACGCCGACACAGGUCCAGGUCCAGGUCCAGGUUCGUAUUGUUCUUUGGUGUGUGGACGUGAUUCUUCUAGUGAGAUAUGUUCUGAAGCGGCAAGGUAAACCCUCUUAGUCUACUAGUUUAACUUUUAAAAUAUACCCAUCGGUUUGAAUGAUGCAAAACUACAAUAAUCUUCAUGUACUUGAUUGACUAAUGAGUUGGAUAUGAUUCGUAUUCUAUUUCUUAAAAAAGUAAGGCAGAAGAUAGCUAGAUUCAUGAUUUGGCAAAUACAACCUCAAAUUAACUUGCCUAUUCAUCGAUUAUGUUCAGGAAAUAAUGUAUCAAUUAAUUGAAGGAAGUAAUAGUAGUGGCUCAUCUAGAACUCAUUCGAUUCCUAGUUCUAACUAUGACCACUAACUUUUGCCUUGCUAGCUGGCUAUGUACAAGCCUGCAACACAUUCUUAUGAUACCAUCAUGUCAUUAAAUGUCAAGGGCUGAGUAUCCCCGGACAGCAGGGCCUCGACUACGCAGUUUGUAGUCGUGACCCAUCUUCUCCGACGAGAUUUUGCCCUCAGCCGCAGGUUUUUGUUGGUGAGUGGAGAGGAGAGAUUAGAGAGAAUAAACUUUGCUUAAUCCUUCCAGCCGGCUGGUUACACAUAUAUAUGGCCGAUCGGCCCUAAUAAACUAGAGAUAAUUACUCCUUGAUCCUAGGGAUAGCUAUCUAAUCAUUCCUAACACCAGCCCCUCCCCCCUAAAUCUUCUCCUUAAUUCUAGGAACUUGAAACAAAAAGUAACCAUGUUCUAUCUGUAACAAACCAGUGCGUGCGCGCCUAACCGCCCACGCGUAUCGCACGCUCUUUUGCCCGGCGCACGUCAUUGGCGCGCCUGCGCCUGGUGUAGGUACGUCCGCACAUGACAUAUACUAGAGUCUAAAGUCCAUUGAAAUUUUAAAUUAUAUACUUUCAUGUAUGGAUGGUGUUUGGAGUGCAAACGUGCCAUUUUAUGUUCCACAAAAUCAUUUUACUAUUGAUCUAUUCCAUCUUUUAUACUCUUUAAUCUAUUAGGGCAUUGAUUUCCUUCAGUUGCGUGUUUCCAUUUUCUGCCACUAGUUCUAUAGAAGUUCACUAAUGUGUUUAAAGUUAUAAUGGUUACCUAGACUAGGCUAAGUAGAGUAUACGUAUUGUAGUUCUACUGCCUUGAACAAGAAAAUUCUUGUCUUUGAUGAUGUAGUUUCUUGGUUUUUUUUCAUCUACAACAAAUUUAUGAUUUAUUCUCAUUUCCUUUUGCAAGUUCAUGGAGCAUGGUUACCACCUUGGUUUGCGGCACAAUAUGCUCAUUACGCGGAGGUUGUCGCAGGUCACUAGAAUAAACAAGGGAAACCUGCUGUGCAUAAUGUUUUGCAUAAGAAAUGUAUUCCUGUUACAGAGAAAAUGGUUGCCCUCAAGAAAAAUGUAGGACCUUAUGUAUAAAAGGUAUCAACAAGAUGUUAAUGGGAUAAACCUCAUAUUGAGACCGCUAAGAUGAAAUGGAUUCAUGUUAAGGAGAAAUUGGUUGUCCUCAAGAAAAAUGCAGAACCUUAUGUACAAAUGGAUUGUCUUCAAAAUGUUGUUCUUGUAGCUACAACAAAGAGAAACAACAAUGGUGGUGAUGCUAUACGUGUAGAAGUAGCAAUGUUGGUCUUGUAGCUCCAAGAUUUUGUUAUUUUGUUGUUGAUGAAUGAUAUCUAUGAUAAUAUAUUGCUAAGUGUAUGUGAUGAUCAUUGGUUGUUGUUUAAUUA